rnacentral:rRNA from 1 species
CAGGGCCAUACCACCCUGAAUGUGCCCAAUCUCAUCUGAUCUCCAAAGCUGAACAGGGUCAGGCCUGGUUAGUACUUGGAUGGUAAAAAGUUCAAGGCCAGCCUGGU